UCGAAUCAAGUGUAUUCUUCUUCACAAACAAACUUUUAUUAUCUUCAACAAAUUCGGAAGAUUCACAAAUUGUUCCUCUCUUAUGUCUCCUUUCCAGAAUACUUUCUACUUUUGAAAUUCAACAUGUACUCGUCGUCGUCGUCAUCUUCUUCUAUUUUUCUUCAAUUCCCACCGGCGAGAACAACCACCGCGUCUCCAUUUAUUCUCCGCCGUAGCUCUUACGUGUUUCACACCAGGAAGCGAGGACCUCGUUUUAAAAGACAUCUAGUGAAUUCGUCAAUUUUCCCUCCGCCGUUUGAUGGCAGCGGUCCUCUCGAUGCUUCCCUAGCUUCAUUUCUCGCUUCAGGCUUAGCGGUUUUUUUAUCGUCGAGGUUAUUUGGAAGAUCUUUAGAGAUUAGUGAUACAAGUAGAAGAAGAAGAUCAAUCGUUGAUGAUGUUGUUGGGGAAUGGAUUCUUUUCACUACUCCUACGCCGUUUAACAGAUUUGUUCUUCUUCGUUGCUCUUUGCUCUCCUUUGAUGAUGACUCUGACAAGAGUUUAAGCGAUAGACUCCUCACAGCGGAGAGGCAUUUCCUUAAUUUGGAUACCGGCAAGAUUAUUGUAUCGGCUGCCGAUGAGAAGACUCCUCCGUUGGAGUAUCAGAGGGUUUGUAUCACUACCGAGGACGGCGGCGUUCUUUCGCUUGAUUGGCCGGCUAAUGUGGACAUUAGGGAGGAGCGUGGGCUGGAUACAACGGUGGUUUUCAUCCCGGGAACGCCGGAUGGUAGUAUGGAUGAAGGCGUUCGAUCGUUUGUAUGCGAAGCUCUGAGGCGAGGCUUGUUUCCUGUGGUCAUGAAUCCUAGAGGUUGUGCUGGUUCGCCUCUCACUACACCUCGGUUAUUUACAGCUGGUGACAGUGAUGAUAUAUCCACAGCUUUGCGAUUCUUAACCAAAACAAGGCCAUGGACAACUCUUACGGCUGUUGGCCGAGGAUAUGGUGCAAAUAUGCUGACAAAAUACCUGGCAGAGGCUGGGGAAAGAACACCUCUUACAGCUGCUGUUUGCAUUGAUAAUCCCUUUGACCUUGCGGAGAUCACACGAACAUCUCCGUAUUCUACUAGUUUGGAUCAACAGCUUACAAGUGGAUUAGUAGAGAUACUGCUGGCAAACAAGGAGCUUUUUCAAGGCAGAACAAAAGCCUUUGAUGUUGGAAAGGCUUUGUCUUCAAAAUCAGUUCGCGAAUUUGAUAAAGCCUUGUCCAUGGUGACAUAUGGUUGCGAGAGUAUAGAAGAUUUCUAUUCCAGUUGUGCCACAAGAGAUGUGAUCGGGGAAGUAAAAGUUCCUGUCCUCUUUAUACAGAAUGACGAUGUAGUACCACCGUAUACAAUACCACGAAGUUCAAUAGCUGAAAAUCCAUUUACAAGCCUGCUUAUGUGCUCUUCUUCACCAAAUCUGAUCGAUGAACGUACAGUGGCUGUGUCUUGGUGCCAGGACCUUGCGAUUGAGUGGUUGACUGCUGUAGAACUUGGGCUUCUGAAAGGUCGUCAUCCACUUUUGAAAGACGUGGAUAUUACUGUUAACCCUUCAAAGGGAUUAGUUUUUUCGGAAGCCAAAGCACCUGAAAAAAGUAUCGGUGCCAAGAAGCUCGUACAGCCAGCCGACGAAAAGAUGGUGAAUGGUUACCAUGUUGAUCCUUUCAGGGAAACACUUGAAGACAGUGACAUCAGCCCAAACUCGAAUUUGUCGUCUGGAAUAGAUUUAGAAAAGAAUGUCAAAGGCGAUUAUGGAGCUGAUGAAACAGAAAAUAGUAGAGUUUCAACAAGCAGUCUUGUUGAAGUUGAAUCAAUCGAAGAUAAUGAGUCCAAUGUAGAAGAAAGUGAUAGAGGUCAGGUGUUGCAGACUGCAGAAGUGGUUGUGAACAUGCUAGAUGUAACCAUGCCUGGCACCCUAAAAGCUGAAGAAAAGAAAAAGGUUAUGGAUGCUGUUGGUCGAGGAGAGACAGUUCUAACAGCACUGCAAGAUGCCGUGCCAGAAGAAGUUCGGGAGAAGCUUACAACAGCUGUAACUGGGAUCUUGCAGUCAGGUGGCACUAAAUUAAAUCUUGAAAAGCUUAAGCUUCCUAGUAUAGCACCAGGAUUGAAGAAAGCGGAGGAAGCAAGGAAAGAACCAUCAAGUGCCAUAGAUCAAAAAGAUUCUCAUUCUCCUGAUCCGAUAGAUAAGAGCGAUGGUUUGGUGAGUGGCUCAGAUGAAACUGUUAGUGGCUCGGAUAAUUCUCCAGGUGGAAUAGAACUGGAGCAUUCCCCUUCCAAGGUUUCCCAGAAAAACGGUGAUUCUGGAAAGUCCCAACCCGUUGACAGUGAUCAAGAUGAUAGUCUUGGAAAUUACGAGUCACAUACCAAUGAAAAGACCAGUGCAGCUGAUGAUUCUGAGAUGGCUUCCGAAGCAAAAAGUGAUAUUGCCAACCAGGGGUCUGUUGGCGCAGAGGAUGUCACUAAUAGUGAUGAAAAAGUGGACCAAGGUUCUGGAGUAGCUACGCAUCAAAGACAGGUAGAAACUAAUAAAAACGAUGAGAAAGGAGCACCAAUUGCCAGUGAAAAAUCCAGUGUAGCUGAUGCUUCGGAGAAGGCUUCAGAUGCAAAAAAUGAUAGUACCAACCCACAGCCAGUUGGUGCAGACGAUAUAACUAGUGAUGGGGACAAAGUGGACCAAGGUACUGUACUAUCUCAGCAACAAAAAAAGGAGGAAACUAAUAAAAAUGAUGAGAAUGCAAAACAGUCUGCCACAGAUCAAAACAAGGUGACAUCUACCGACAAUGAAGGAGAUGCUGGAAAAUCUUCUGCUUCACAGCCUGUAGAGAAAGACGAAGGUAAUGAUCAGAGCAAAGAAACCAAAGUUAUCCAGCCUGUAUCAGACCAAACUAAGCCAGCAAUUCAGGAAGCAAAUCAGCCUAAAUUUAAUGUUUCCCAUGCAUUUGAGGCAUUGACGGGGAUGGAUGAUUCAACUCAGGUAGCUGUCAAUAGUGUUUUUGGUGUGCUUGAAAACAUGAUUACUCAGCUGGAUGAAGAAAAAAAAGAAGGAAGUGAGGUAAGUGAUGAGAAGAAUCUCAAGGAUGAGAAGACUGUCACGAAUGAGGUAUUGUCCUUAUCUGAAGAGGAAAUUCCCUCCAAGAGAGAAACUGAAAGCCUUAUGCCCUCUGAAAAAUCUCAAGAUCCUGCAUGCAGUGUGAAUGAAACUGAAAAAUGUUCUGACAGUGAAAAGGUAACUGGGGUAAUGACUGAAAAACCUUUGGGCAGAGAUGAUGUGAUUGGUAAGCAUUCACCGAAGAUUCUGCCUGAAAGAAUUACAGAUUCUGUCGAAAAAUCUUCUAAUGAUGGAUACCUUGGGGAGGAACUUUCAAAAGAAAAGGUUGCAAAACAGUUAGACUUAAAUACAACCACUGCUCUCAUGCUUGACUAUUAUCCAGAGGAAGGUAAAUGGAAACUCCUUGAUCAACAACCAGAACACUUGGGUGAUAACUAUUAUCCAGAGGAAGGUAAAUGGAAGCUACUAGAUCAACAACCAGAAUACUUGGGUAACGUUGCUGACAAUGCAGCAGCCAGCAGAGAUACGCACGAAAAUGUUCAGGUUCAUUCCCUUAGUGUAGGUAAUGAAAAGAACAUCAUUGAGCCUUCAUAUGUGAUAUUGGACCAUGAAAAAGAGUUAGAGCUCUCUGAAAUGCAUGAUGCAGCAGACAAUCAAAAUGAUGGUCCUCACAAAUUAGACGAAGGAUGUGAGGAACUAGAGAACCUCAUUAAAGUUAUUGUAUCAGACUCUUUGAAUGUUGAAGUUCAACGCCGGAUGGGUUCAGCUGGCAUGAGGCAAAUUGAGUCUCAACUCAGUCGAGAUAUAAAAAUGGUGGCAAAGACAUUUUCUUAUGCUGUUGUAUAUGAAGAGCCUACUUGGACUUUCAAAAGGAACAGCAAAACUUCCGAUGGCCCUGCUGGAAAAGUAGGUAAACUUCAUGGGGACGCUAUCAUUAGGGCAAUUGCAUCUGCUGUCCAGGAGGCGCAUUUUCUCAGACAAGUACUGCCUAUUGGUGUUGUUGUUGGCUCUGUUUUAGCUGCUUUGAGAAAAUAUUUCGAUGUAUCUACAACAACCAGCAAUGCUAAGAGAGAUAUUGUCCCGGGUAGAACACAAAAGUACGAGAACAAUGAUGUAAAGACGAGUGUUGUGCCAGACAAGAUUAGCCAAGAGACCGAACAAAACAACUCGAGCAUUGGAGAAAUGGUGGAAUCUGGCCUGAAAAAAUUUAACAAUGAGGGUGUCAUGGUUGGUGCUGUAACAGCUGCUUUGGGAGCAUCUGCUAUGCUGGUUCAACACGAGGAUCCACAAAAAGGCGGCAUCAUGUCAAAAUCAUCGGAGAAAGUUAGUCAACAUAAAGAAUCUGGAAAACUUGAUCAGAACAGUAUAGUGGCAAGUUUUGCUGAGAAAGCCAUGUCCAUAGCGGGUCCUGCUGUUCCAACAAAGGAAACUGGUGAAGUGGAUCAGGAUAGGAUUGUGGCAAUGUUGGCAGAUUUGGGUCAGAGGGGUGGCAUAUUGAGGUUAGUUGGAAAACUUGCUCUGCUUUGGGGUGGCCUUCGUGGUGCUAUGAGUUUAACUGAUAAGCUAAUCCAGUUUUUGCGUAUGGAUGAAUGGCCCUUGCUCAAGAGGGCUGUGGGCUUUAUUGGCAUGGUGCUCGUGUUAUGGUCACCGGUUGUGAUUCCAUUGCUUCCAACACUUCUCCAGAGCUGGUCCACAAGUAAUCCUUCUAGAGUGGCGGAACUAGCUAGUGUAGUUGGUCUCUAUGUUGCUGUAUUCAUUCUUGUUAUGCUGUGGGGAAAAAGAGUACGGAAGUAUGAAAACCCAUUCAAGCAAUAUGGGCUUGAUUUUAAGGCAUCAAACAAAGAAAAGAUUCAAGAGUUUUUAAAGGCUUUUGCAGGGGGCAUCACAGUCGUUCUACUAAUACAGUUCAUAAAUGCAAUAUCAGGAGCUGCGAUUUUUUCUCGACCGCCAUAUUUUCCACAUCCUUUUGAUGCCAUGAAGUGUCUUAAGGGAUUUGGGCAAUUUCUUCUGCUGAUAAUUAGAGGAUUUACAGCUGCGACAUUUGUUGUGCUUGUGGAAGAGUUGCUCUUCAGAUCAUGGAUGCCUGCCGAGAUUGCGAUAGAUCUGGGCUACCAUCAAAGCAUUAUCAUUACAGGACUCAUAUUUGCCUUGUUCCAAAGAUCCCUGAGAUCAAUUCCAGGGUUAUGGCUUCUGUCAUUGGCGCUUGCUGGGGCUCGUGAAAGAAGCCAAGGAAAUCUAAUUGUUCCAAUUGGGUUGCGGGCAGGAAUCAUAGCAACAAGCUUUAUACUACAGUCAGGUGGAUUCCUCACCUACAACCCAAGUUCCCCGGUUUGGAUUGCAGGGAGCCGCCCUUUACAGCCUUUUAGUGGAGUGGUUGGUCUUAUGGUCUCUUUGGCGUUGGCACUCAUUCUUUAUCCGAAACCUUCUCCUGAAACCAAGAUGCUGAAAUAUAAUUAAGAAGAAGAAGGCAAACAAUAUGAAGCGACAUGUUGUGCUCAUGCCCUUUCUGAGAUUUGCAGAGUGAAACUGAUUUACUAUGCACAGAAGAAUAAAAAAAGAAUAGGCGAAAGUAUAAACAAUGAGGACAGAAGAAGAGCUUCGGAUCUGCAUGCUUAUCAUACAAAAAGAAGUUUGGUUUUCAUUUUCAGAAUCAUGUUGAUUAUGCGUCUAUACUAUUCAGUGGGUAGGGAAAAAAGAGUUGGUAAAGACGCAAUAACAUUGUGCCAUAGUCCAUAGUCCAGAACUCCAAACUGUAACUUUAUUUUAGGUGUUUAGAGCAACCUUUUGUUUUGGUAUAUACUUCUAUCA